UACGAAGGGGGCUAGCGUUGCUCGGAAUCACUGGGCGUAAAGGGGGCGUAGGCGGGUCUUUAAGGCAGGGGUGAAAGCCCCGGGCUCAACCUGGGAAUUGCAUUUGAGACUGCAUAGCUAGGGUGCGGAAGAGGCGAGUGGAAUUCCCGGUGUAGCGGUGAAAUGCGCAGAUAUCGGGAGGAACACCAAUUGCGAAGGCCGCUCGCUGGGACGUUACUGACGCUGAGACGCGAAAGCGUGGGGAGCAAACAGG
rnacentral:rRNA from 1 species